rnacentral:misc_RNA from 1 species
UCUCUCCUCGCCGCUGCUCCUAGGGUUUCAUCUGCACGCGAGGAAACAUGCUGGUCUACCAAGAUCUGAUCUCCAAUGAUGAGCUCCUCUCUGAUUCAUUUCCCUACACUGAGAUUGAAAAUGGUAUGCUGUGGGAGGUGGAAGGGAAGUGGGUUGUCCAAGGAGCCCUCAAUGUAGAUAUUGGUGCAAACCCCUCAGCUGAAGGUGGUGAAGAUGAUGAAGGGGUUGAUGACCAGGCAGUAAAGGUGGUUGAUAUUGUUGACACCUUCCGGCUUCAGGAGCAACCUGCUUUCGACAAGAAGCAGUUUAUGGCAUACAUGAAGCGGUAUGUCAAGCAGUUGACGCCUAAACUUGAUGCCGAGCAGCAGGUGCUAUUUAAGAAGCACAUUGAGGGGGCCAUUAAGUUUCUGCUUCCGAAGCUUAGUGAUCUGCAAUUUUUUGUGGGUGAGAGCAUGCAGGAUGACAGUAGCCUGGUGUUUGCUUAUUACAAGGAAGGUGCUUCCGAUCCAACCUUUUUGUACUUCGCUUAUGGAUUGAAGGAGAUCAAGUGCUAGACUUGAAAAAUGGCAGCAUAUGGGAAAAAUAGUUUAGUUUACUAGUUUGCUUGUUGUGCUCUAUGGAUGUUGGGAUAUUAUGCUUGGUUUUUAUCCGUUACUGUGUACUGGUUCAAUAAGAACUUUUUUUGUACUGCUGAGAUUAAGUUUUAUUUAUAAUUUGGUUUUAUGCGA